rnacentral:piRNA from 1 species
UAACCAAUGAACUAACGUCGUGGUGGA